AGAUUGUUUUGGCAGAGCAACAACUCCAGGACUGGAGUUAUGAAGCUCUUCCAAGAGAGGAGGAGGCAUGUAGUCCAUUAGCCGCUGGCAGAUGAGGCUGGAAGUUUUACUUGAUUGGGAAAGUGAGUUACCUGGGAAUUAGAAGGAAAAGAAAUGGACUUUCUUAAAUAACCUUGAAAGAGUCAUCUCUACAUAUAGCCCAGAAAGGACAGUAAGAGAACACCCUAAGAAGCACACCACUAAAUGAUGAAAGAGUGGCACAGAGAGAGGUUUAAACUGACAGGGAUUAUUUCAGGAGAAGUCCAUGAAGAAAGUUCAGCAUGGGAAUGAGUCCUUAAGAGCAAGUAUCCCUUGCCCCAGCUGUGAGUAAUUGUUAAGGCUUUUGAUAGAAUUGGCCUUAAGUCUCAAAGCAAAGCUGGUAUAGAGGUGGUAAUGGGGAGGCGGGGGGCAGUAUUGCAGAGCUCUAAUAUGUAUGUUUAAAUAAGUUAAGAAUGAUAAGU
rnacentral:lncRNA from 1 species